AAAGGCUUCCAUGCAGCAGCAAUCUGAUAUAAGAAAAGAUUCUGAUAUUAAACUGUGUAGGUGACAAAUAAAAGCUACACAGGAGAUAAAUGCUAUGGAACAUAAACAUUGAUUGAAGCAUUAGUUAGAAAAUGCAUUCUUUGUUUCUCAUUUUCUACUCACUAAACUAAUUUUGGAAUUUUGGUCAUUCAAGAGUGAUUUGAUAGCUCAGCAUUGCCUUAGUUAUGAACUACUCAGCAUUCUCCCUGUGGCGGCAG
rnacentral:misc_RNA from 1 species